GGAACACUGUACCGCUUAUGUCGGUGACCGAGCUCUCCCUAUAAAUAGUGCUCCACCCCAUUUCUUGUCAGUUCCGUUAGGAAUCUUCUCGACUUGGGUCGUUGCGUUCGUCGCCUGCUCCGGCGUUCGGGGUUUCCUUGUUCCCUCCCUUCAUCGGCCAAGAAGACGGCGAUCGAGGCUGUGGCUCAAGAAAUUCGCUGAUCUUUCCUUCAUCCGAGAACAUGGCGCGGGAUUCAGAUAAAACUCUGAACCUUCUGUUGCGAUUUUCCUUCUUUUUGCGCUUGAAAAUCUAUUCGUAGUAGUUCGACAUUGUUCUCUGAUAUUUCUGGACGGAUCUUGUUGUGAUACACGAUGAUUUGUAGAUCUGGCGAUUGUACAACAUCUUGAACAAUUACUGAUCUUUUUUUUAUUAUUGAGGUCGCAGAUCACCAAUUGUAGCGUACUCUGCGAGAUCAUUGAGGUCCAUUACGUUAAAUUUUGCUUAGUGUAUAUUCUUUUAGGUUUUGCGGAUUGUUCUGGCCAUCUGUUAAGGAAUUUUCUUAUGGUUUGUAGUUGUAUGGAUAGUUUGGUAUUGGUGGGAAAUUCUGUUUUUAGUUCUAUGAUUUGUAUUGAGGGUUGUCUUUGUGUUGAGUUGAUUGCAUCUCAUAUGUAUGUGUAGGACCAGAGCUUUUUCUUUACCAUGGGUGCUCCAUUUUGUGUCCUUGUUUUGGCAUAUGGGAAUCUGCUGCAUCCUUCUUGCUUUUGGAGUGCUGUUUGGUAAUGUGCAAUCGAUUCGCUUGAAUUUAUGCUUUUGAUUUGCAAAUCUUUAGGUAUCGUAAGUAGAUCCUGUUGUUUUUUGUUUAUUUGAGAAGAAAUAUGCAUUCCUGAUCAUUCUGAUGGCUAUCAAAUUGUGUUCACUUUCUUCUUCAGUUAGUAAGUCAAAGAAAUCACAGGUACGCUGUUCGCUAACUUGGUCUUUAUAAAGGGAAUGGUGUGAUUCCUACACCUGUUUUUGAUUUGGUUUAAUUGCAGUCAUUUCAAGACUGUUGUCAGAAGCUGUCCAUUGAUGAAAUUUGUCCUGUUAUAUUACUUAUUCUACUGAGGCAUAGCAUUCCAAUGAUUAGGAAGCAAAUGUUACGACAAGCUUGAAAAGCAAAGGUUACGUUGAGAAGCAAAUGGUACGACAUACAUGAAAUAUAUUUAGGAUUAGGAAGCUCGCGACAUACAUAAAAAGUGAAUUAGGAUUAGAAAAUUCUCUCUUUUAUAUGAGUGGAACGGAUUGUCGAAAAUGAGAGCAAUACACAUACAGAUUGAUUUCUAAACCGAUGCUGGUUUUAAAAUAACAACAUUUGUUGAUUUAUUUAGCCACACUUUUCUAAUCAUAUGGUCAACGAGCAGUUGUUCUGACUGUUUCUAACCACAAAACAAAUCUGAUGUGGUACUUGCAGAAUGGAUUUACAUGUGAUAACCGCACCAGCUAAUGGAGGAGCAAAGGAUGAGAUGGCUUGCGGUCAACCUUACAGCGGAGCAGCCUGAUGCACAGAUUAGAUUAGAAGCUUGCGCACAGAUAUACACACAACCUACACUGAAUGAUGGAUCAUCGACAACUCUGUGACCAUUCUACAGCACUCGUAGAUUGGGAGAGUGUACCUAAUUGAAUGCCAUUCACCUUGUGCCUCCACUGUUGCCAGCUGCAGAAAACAACCGACACCAGACACCAUACAUAAUCUACCAGGUAAAUAAAGGAAGAAGCAGGAUGUACUUUGUUCCAUUCUAACCUUGCUCCAACUGUUGCUCGAU